rnacentral:sRNA from 1 species
GACUGGACGGCAGGGAGUGGGGCUGUCAUCAUCAGAUGAGAGCUAAGGGGACCCCCACCAGGGUGGCAGCAAUGGCAGAGGGUAGGCAAAACGCUUGUAUUUGCAACAUAAGGUGAGAUUUGACAGCUGACUGAGGGUGGGAGCAGCAGCCAAAACCAAAAAAGCCAGAGGGAAGUUGCAAGCACAGAAAAAAUAGAAGAUUUAAUGGGAGAAAUAACAAUACCUGGCAUCUAUUGAACACUUACCGGGAGCUAGGUACAGGGCCCAUUCAUUCAUUCAUUCAAUUAAAACUUUUUUUAAGAAACGGGGUCUUGCUCUGUUGCCCAGGCUGGAGUGCAGUGGUGUGAUCACAGCUCACUGCAGCCUUGAAUUCCUGGUCUCAAGGAGUCCUCCCACCUCAGCCUCCUGUGUAGCUGGGAUUAUAGGUACGUGCGGUACACCUGGCUCCCUUUAAAAGUUUUUUGUAGAGGCAGGGCACAGUGGCUCACACCUGUAAUCCCAGCACUUUGGGAGGCCAAGGCAGGAGGAUCACAAGGUCAGGAGUUCGAGACCAGCCUGACCAACAUGGUGAAACCCGUCUCUACUUAAAAUACAAAAAUUAGCCGGGUGUGGUGGCGGGCGCCUGUAAUCCCAGCUACUCAGGAGGCUGAAGCAUGAGACUUGCUUGAACCCAGGAGGCGAAGGUUGCAGUGAGCCGAGAUCGCGCCACUGCACUCCAGCCUGGGUGACAGAACAAGACUCCGUCUCAAAAAAAAAAAAAAGUUUCUUGUAGAGGCAGGGCCUUGCUUUGUUGCUGGUGCAAUCACGGCUCACUGCAUCCUCUAACUCCUGGCCUUAAGCAAUCUUCUGUCCUCAGCCUCCCAAAGCACUGGGAUUACAGGCAUGCGUGACCACACCUGGUCCCUGCCAUUGUUUAUUGAGCACCUACUGAGUGCCAUGUAUUAAGUGCUGGGUAUUUGUCAGUGGACAAAACAGAUUAAAAAAAUCACAGCCCUUAGGGAGCUUACCCUCUGGCAGGGGCGUCAGACAAUAACACAGCAAGUGCUGAGGAAGAAACGGAGGCGGCAGGGAGCGUGGCAGUUGAGCGUGGCCUUCAUGGAGCUGCGACAGUGGUACUCGGGCAGGGGCAGCACGGAGGCUGUGUGCCAGAGGAGGAGGACUGAGGGGCAAGGGGGAGAGCUCUGGUUGGAAAGGCAGGGGAGAUUCUCCAGGGCCUUGCCGGUGCCAGUGACAACUGGGGUUUUCCUGAGACGGGACUGCGAGGAAUGGGGGCUCUCAGGCUUGAGAGGGCAAAGGUGGUCUGGGAUGCCGUCUGCCCACAGGGCCCCUUCCCCAACGGCUGCCCAGGCCAAGGCCAACCCUGUUGGGUUGUGUGGUGUGAGCCAUGAAGCCACUGCCAGGCUUGUACCUCAGGCGUGGUUGUGAUGCCCCAGCUUCACUGGCCCUGCCUGUGGGGACGUGGUGCCUGUGUGCGGGAGCCUGGGCCUCAGCCGAGGCCCUGAGCUCCGGCACUGCCCAGAACCCAGCUCAGCGCUGGUACUCAGCCCGCCCGCUGUGGCCCUGGUGGAGUGGAGCACGUGCCCAGUGGGGGCUGGCCUUGUCCCAUCGCGGACCUGUCCUUUCCCGGGGCAGGGUGGUGUGGGAGAGGGUAUCAGGGACAUUUUCUGAGUCUGCUCUGUCUCUGCCGCCCCUGCCUGAACACACAGAUUCUGAAAGUCAAGAAGACAUCAUCCGGAAUAUUGCCAGGCACCUCGCCCAGGUCGGGGACAGCAUGGACCGUAGCAUCCCUCCGGGCCUGGUGAACGGCCUGGCCCUGCAGCUCAGGAACACCAGCCGGUCGGAGGAGGACCGGAACAGGGACCUGGCCACUGCCCUGGAGCAGCUGCUGCAGGCCUACCCUAGAGACAUGGAGAAGGAGAAGACCAUGCUGGUGCUGGCCCUGCUGCUGGCCAAGAAGGUGGCCAGUCACACGCCGUCCUUGCUCCGUGAUGUCUUUCACACAACAGUGAAUUUUAUUAACCAGAACCUACGCACCUACGUGAGGAGCUUAGCCAGAAAUGGGAUGGACUGAACGGACAGUUCCAAAAGUGUGACUGGCUAAAGCUCGAUGUGGUCACAGCUGUGUAGCUGCUUCCAGUGUAGACGGAGCCCUGGCAUGUCAACAGCGUUCCUAGAGAAGACAGGCUGGAAGAUAGCUGUGACUUCUAUUUUAAAGACAAUGUUAAGCUUAUAACCCACUUUAAAAUACCUACAUUAAUAUACUUGAAUGAAAAUGUCCAUUUACACGUAUUUGAAUGGCCUUCAUAUCAUCCACACAUGAAUCUGCACAUCUGUAAAUCUACACACGGUGCCUUUAUUUCCACUGUGCAGGUUCCCACUUAAAAAUUAAAUUGAAAAGCAGGUUUCAAGGAAGUAGAAACAAAAUACAA